AAUGACAUUAACUAGGAAAGGCUCCCUCAAACUCCAACUCGCAUACAACACCUCCAACUUUCGGUUGUAUCACCACCUCUAGUGGGCGGCGCCUCUUCCAUUGCGCAUUUUCAAUUUGGGGGACUUCCAACCACUUCUUCUCUGCCGCUGCUAUACCGGUGUUGACGACAGUGACGUUUACAUGUUGUUGGACUUGGUUUGUUUUAAAACAUCCCAAACCAUGGUAUGAGCUUGGUUGAUUUUCUACAUCCAUAACAUUGUGAAUCAUCACAAUUAUGGGAACCAGGGCGGCAUUGAAGUGGUCGAAGAAAAUUACAACAUCACAAGUGGAACAGCUCAUUCGAGCUGAAAAGGACUUGGCUAAAGCCAUUGUGAUAUUUGAUUCAGCAACAGCUGAGUACAAAAAUGGCUAUAAACAUGACCAUACAACUUUUGGGCGUAUGAUAUCUAGAUUAGUCUCUGCCAACCAGUUUAGACCUGCAGAGGAGCUCCUUGGAAAAAUGAAGGAAGAGAAGUGUGAGAUUAAUGAAGACAUAUUCCUCUCCAUUUUGAGAGGAUAUGGUCGGGUUCAUAAGCCAUUGGAGGCCAUUCGAAUUUUUGAGAGCGCAAAAGGAUAUGAAUGCAAACUCACCGAGAAGUCUUACAUAACUCUAUUUUCCUUACUCGUUGAUGAAAACGAGUUAAAGAUGGCCAUGAGGUUUUACCGCUAUAUGAAGGAAUUGGGUAUUCCACCAACUGUUGUUUCUCUUAACAUCUUGAUCAAAGCCCUAUGCAAAAGCAGUGGGACAAUUGAUGCUGCCUCUAAUAUAUUCCGUGAAAUGCCACUUCGUGGAUGUCCUCCGGAUUCAUAUACUUAUGGUACAUUGAUUAGUGGGUUGUGUAAAUGGGGAAGAAUUGAUGAAGCAAAUGAACUUUUCAGAGAAAUGGAGGCAAAAGGUUGUCUACCAACUGUUGUUACCUACACUACUUUGAUACAUGGUCUGUGUAAAUCUGAAAAGUUAGGUGAUGCUCUGACAUUGUUUGAGGAGAUGAGAAGCAAAAACAUUAAGCCAAAUGUGUUUACCUACAGUGCUUUGAUGGAUGGUCUUUGCAAGCAUGACCGUUCUUUACAUGCCUUGGGUCUAUUGGAUGUGAUGGUUCGCCAAAAUCUUUCUCCAAACAUGAUUACUUAUAGUACUUUAAUUUAUGGACUUUGUAAAGAUGGAAAUCUUUGUGAAGCUUUAGAGAUUUUUGAUAGAAUGAAACUUCAAGGUCUGAAACCUGAUGCCGCAUUGUAUGGUAAGAUCAUAAGGGGAUUCUGUGACUUGAGAAAGUUCCAGGAGGCUGCCAAUUUCCUCGAGGAAAUGGUCCUUGCUGGAAUCUCACUCAAUAGGUUAACUUGGACCAUUCAUGUUAGGACUCAUACCAUUGUCAUACAAGGACUUUGUGAGGUUGAUCUCAUUCGAGCGUUCCGUUUGUACCUGAGUAUGAGAACAAGAGGGCUCUCUGUUGAACCUGAAGUAUUUAUUUCACUUAUCAAAGGCUUCUGCAAGAAAGGAGACCUGCACAAAACUUGCCGCGUUGUUGAUGAGAUGGUUUGUGAUGGCUGUCUACCAGAUAAGGAGUUAUGGAAGGCUAUCUUAGAAGUUUUUCUUGAUCAGAAAAAGAUGGUGGAGUCUGUUGAAAGCUUCCAGGUGCUGUUGUUACAGAAUAUUGAUGAGCUUGAGAAGUUGUCUGUAGAUUAGAAUACCUUUGAAAUGGAAUGGUGUGUGACCAUAAGUGCAUAGCAGUUCAGCAGGUUCAGGUUCUUGUUAGUUCAACUUGUUAGUAACUUUUGGCUUUUAAGAAUGAUCUUGAAUGAACAUAUCUCCUGCAAGGUGGGUUGCUAUUUACAGGUUUGUUUUCCUUUGUUCUUUUUUUGCGACACUGUUCUAAAUCUAAGGUUUGCCAUUUAUUCUUCUAUUUAUCCAUUGAAGGCACUAAAAAUAGAAGCGACUCAAGUGAGGAACUUUUAAUUUGACAAAGUGGGUUCUGAACUGGAGCAUGUGAUCAGGUGCAAAAUAUACCUUAGCCUGGUUGUUUUGUUUUUUGAGGGAAAUCCUGAUUGUUUUGUUAGUUACAAUGUUAAAAAUAAAGGUGUUUUGUCAGAGGUCGCCAUAUAAUGACAUAUUAAGAAAACAGAUCAAAUCAAAGAAGUAUUGCUUGCUAUUGGAAUUAUCUAAAAUCUAAAUGCAAAUUAAUGUGACUAGACUACUAGAGUUGUGAAUUCACUACUGCCUUGUGGCUGCACUAUUGUGCUAGUUUCCUAUUGAUAUCUAGGGGUUCUUAAUUAUUCAGAGCUUCUGCCACGCAAAGAUAAUUACUGUCUAUGAAAACGGAAUGCAGAGGUUAAGCUUUAUUUUCCCCUUUAUUUCUAAGUUUUAUUUUAUAUCACUGGGAAUCACAUGGAACCUUUCUGUUUUGAACAAUUUGCUAGUAUUUCUUGAUAAUUUCAUCAAAAUGAUAUAAGCUUCUGUUUAAAACAACUAUGAUUUAGCUGUUUGUCUCUAUUGCAGAGUUAUAUUGCGGUAAACUUGUCUUCGUCCUUCUCUCUCUCUUUCCGUAUUGUGUGACUUAUUGAUUUUCUAAUACACGCUGUAAUAAGAUGAACUGAUCUUAUUAGAGCAUCAUACAAGGUGAAUGGAGAAAGAGAAGCAGGUGGAGCUAUAUACAAUAGAAUGCGUGUAAUGGAAAUAUACAAUUUGGAAUAUUAGUCACGGCAAACCAAUUUAUCAAUUUGCAGUUAGGGGGAAACCAAUCCCAUGGCGAUGUGUAGGGAAUGCUACAAACAGCAUACUGCAAAGGACUCCUAUUCCAACAGGUAGUGCUGUAAGAAUCUCCUGGGUCUCUUUUGAUGGCGUUGGAUAGAAGCAUUGAACCGUGUUCUUAUCAAAUAAGGCAAUUGCUGCAAAAACGAAUACUGACAUGAAAGCAUGUAGAAAAUCUAUGAACCGGAGACGGUACUUAGCAGCAAGUUGGGAUGGAAUUGUUGUUGACCCAUCUAUGACCCACAGACCGUUGAAAGUGGCGAACCCGUAGUAGAUAUUCCCAUCGUUGUCCUUGAAGCAGUCAGUGAAGCUUAGUAGGAAAGAUGACAACCCACAAAAAGCAAUUAGGAUGGAAGUAAUCGUUCUGCUGACCGGGUCACAUUCACCUUGGUUUGUGAAAACCGGUGCGAGAAGCUGGAAGGCCAUAACUGUUCCAGUUGGUAGUAAAUUGGCCAAGUGAGCCGUGCUCUGAAAUGUCUGGCUGAUGGCUUGCUGUAUUGGAUUUCUGUCUACUGUAGAAGGUGGUAUAUCUUGGAGAAGAGGAACCUUUUGCUCAUCAUCAAUCUCUCGAGCUUCUUCGUUGAUUGCACUGACAUCCAUUGUACUAUGUCUCUCUUCCUAUAUCUUUUUUUUUAUCACUAUAUGUUAUACUUUUGACAGGUCUUUGAAAGACUGAAUGCCAAUGCCUUAUAAGAGAGAGAGUAUUGUAAGAAACUGCGUUGAGUAGAGCAAAAGGGAUGGGAGGGCAGCUAAGUAAUGCCUUGCAAGAAAGAAGAAACUGAGUUGUAUUUGAGGUAAAGCUUACUUUAUUAGAAUCAUGGGAAAGUUGCUCCUGUAAUUUAGUUAAGAAGGGUGUUAUAUUAUCCAAUGAGCUUGGUAAUGACACCCUUGUUUACUAACAGUUGCAAAUAUUUAAGAGCUAUGGAUUUCUCAAUUUGUCAUCAGUUAAAAAGAUGAGAGACCUUUCGCAAGAGAUUAAUCGUGAUCGUUCUCUUCCGUACUAGCAUACGUGGGAUUCAAUUGGUGUUUGUGGACUAAGUAGAGGAGCAACAAGUGGGGCUCUUAGAUCUUCGAAGCUUACAUACGAACGGAAGAACACGCUACAAGGGCAUACGGCUCAUUGAGAAGGUCUUUUUUUGGAUUCCUUUUUGCUGAAGUUAUGGUAAUAAUCAAUUGGUUAAAGACAUUAGAAUUAUGUUAUACAGAAUGAAUGUUAUUCAUGCCAAAUUUUUAGGCCGCGGAGGUACAAAACUCUUCUGGUUAUUACUAUAAUGUUUGUACAUUAAUUUCAUUUUCCCUUGUACGGUAUGUUCUCCAUAAAAUCAGCUUGGCUGUUUUGUUGCAUUUACUAAAAAAAAAUUGUUGUUAGUGUUGCGUAGGUGUUGCUUUUAUUCUAAUGUCUCUUAGUAUCUUGCUAAAUAGACAAUGUUAUAAAAUUAUUUC